rnacentral:rRNA from 1 species
UACGGAGGAUCCGAGCGUUAUCCGGAUUUAUUGGGUUUAAAGGGUGCGCAGGCGGCGAGUUAAGUCAGCGGUAAAAUGUCCGGGCUCAACCCGGGCCGGCCGUUGAAACUGGGGAUCUUGAGUGGGCGAGAAGUAUGCGGAAUGCGCGGUGUAGCGGUGAAAUGCAUAGAUAUCACGCAGAACUCCGAUUGCGAAGGCAGCAUACCGGCGCCCGACUGACGCUGAGGCACGAAAGCGUGGGUAUCGAACAGG